GGGUGGUUAGCUCAGUGGUAGAGCACUGCCUUCACACGGCAGGGGUCACAAGUUCGAACCUUGUACCACCCA
rnacentral:tRNA from 1 species